GAUGAAGAACGUAGCGAAAUGCGAUAAGUAAUGUGAAUUGCAGAAUUCAGUGAAUCAUCGAAUCUUUGAACGCACAUUGCGCCCCCUGGUAUUCCGGGGGGCAUGCCUGUUCGAGCGUCAUUUCACCACUCAAGCCUCGCUUGGUAUUGGGCAUCGCGGUCCGCCGCGCGCCUCAAAUCGACCGGCUGGGUCUUCUGUCCCCUAAGCGUUGUGGAAACUAUUCGCUAAAGGGUGUUCGGGAGGCUACGCCGUAAAACAAGCCCAUUUCUAAGGUUGACCUCGGAUCAGGUAGGGAUACCCGCUGAACUUAAGCAUAUCAAUAAGCGGAGGA
rnacentral:misc_RNA from 1 species